rnacentral:rRNA from 1 species
AUUGAACGCUGGCGGAAUGCUUUACACAUGCAAGUCGAGCGGCAGCGCGGCCUUCGGGCUGGCGGCGAGCGGCGAACGGGUGAGUAAUUCAUCGGAACAUGCCCAGUCGUGGGGGAUAACACUUCGAAAGAAGUGCUAAUACCGCAUACGUCCUGAGGGGGAAAGCGGGGGAUCGCAAGACCACGCGCGAUUGGCAUGGCCGCUGUCUGAUUAGCUAGUUGGUGGGGUAAAGGCCUACCAAGGCGACGAUCUGUAGCUGGUCUGAGAGGAUGAUCAGCCACACUGGGACUGAGACACGGCCCAGACUCCUACGGGAGGCAGCAGUGGGGAAUUUUGGACAAUGGGGGCAACCCUGAUCCAGCCAUCCCGCGUGAGUGAAGAAGGCCUUCGGGUUGUAAAGCUCUUUCGGCAGGAACGAAACGGUGGGCUCUAACAUAGUCCGCUAAUGACGGUACCUAAAGAAGAAGCACCGGCUAACUACGUG